rnacentral:ncRNA from 1 species
CAGACCUCUGGAAAGGAAUUUAUUCGCCGAAGGAGCAAUCGAUAUAAAAUUUGAGAAUCUCUCAGGUAAAAGAUACAGAGC